rnacentral:tRNA from 1 species
UAGCUCAACGGGUAGAGUAAUUCGCUUACAACGAAUCGGUUAAUAGUUCAAAUCUAU